AAUUUUUGGCGAUAAUGGGUGGUAUCUAGUAGAAAUUGACGACUCAUCAGAAAAUACCUUCCUGGCCCAGCAGGUCAAAACGCUUGGUCAUGUAAGUUGGAUUGGUUUAAGUGAUUUAAGCGAAGAGGGUAUUUGGGUAUGGAUGACAAGUAAGGCAAAAAUAAGCGACCAAUACACCAACUGGGUACCAGGCGAGCCGAGUACCUAUGACAUAAAUCAUGAACCGGAGAACUGUGCCAAUUUCUACACAAACGGACAAUGGAAUGACGCUCACUGCACACAGUUUAACUACUAUAUAUGUGAAAAAGAAGAUGAAGAGACUGAAAUCGUUGGUUGAAAUGGUCACAUAUAUGUGCUGUUAUGUUAGUUAUAUGAAAAAAAAACCCACAUUGAAUUGAUAUAAACAAAUAAACAAAUAAAUAUGCUUCAUAAAGUAUCUUAAAAACAGAAUUUCAUAUUCUUUAUCUAUUUUUGAUUCAAUAUGUGCUUAAUGUGCUUAAUUGUCUUGUAUGUGCCAGGGUCGACAUGUCUUGUAUGUGUCAGGGUCGACAUGAUUUCAUUUCAAUUCAUUUUGAAUAAUAUUAAAUUUUUAUAUGGACGGGGUAUUAUUGAAUGUAUUUUGAUGAUUUUGAUGUAAAUACUUUAUGGAAAAGCUGCAAAGGAUUUGGACAUUUCAAGAA